AUCUCAAAGUAGGUCAUCUUUUCGUAGUGAAUGCAGGCUGGGCUGGCUUUGUCACUCCGAAGACGCUGCUGCAAGUCUUUGACCUGUGUAUUUCAAAGCCAGCAGUUAGAUGGUUAUCCCGCUAUCGGUCGGCUUUUUAAGUUCCAAGGUGGUAGUGGGACUGUGUUACCCCUUAGUCGCCUCUUACGACGGCCACGGGAAGAAAGGGGGUGGCUAUAUUCUAUACUGCCGUAGCCACUCAGCAUUAGUAGUUUUGCAUACAGAAGUAAAUUAUAUUGAUUUUGACGUUUAAAUGUUG
rnacentral:misc_RNA from 1 species